GGAUGAUGUCAUAUGGUAUGGAAUGUCCCUUUGGUCAAUUUGGGUAACCUGUCCCAGCUGUGUCUCCUCCCAGCUUCCCAUGCACCCCCAACUUCCUUGACAGUGUGGCAGUAUGAAGAGCAGUAAAGGCCUUGGCUCUGUGUAAGCACUGCUCAGCAAUAACAAAAACAUCUGUGUUUUACAACACUGAGUCCAG